rnacentral:rRNA from 1 species
AGUGAACGCUGGCGGUAGGCCUAACACAUGCAAGUCGAACGGCAGCACAGUAAGAGCUUGCUCUUACGGGUGGCGAGUGGCGGACGGGUGAGGCAUACAUCGGAAUCUACUUUUUCGUGGGGGAUAACGUAGGGACACUUACGCUAAUACCGCAUACGACCUACGGGUGAAAGCAGGAGAUCUUCGGACCUUGCGCGAUUGAAUGAGCCGAUGUCGGAUUAGCUAGUUGGCGGGGUAAAGGCCCACCAAGGCGACGAUCCGUAGCUGGUCUGAGAGGAUGAUCAGCCACACUGGAACUGAGACACGGUCCAGACUCCUACGGGAGGCAGCAGUGGGGAAUAUUGGACAAUGGGCGCAAGCCUGAUCCAGCAAUACCGCGUGGGUGAAGAAGGCCUUCGGGUUGUAAAGCCCUGUUGUUAGGAAAGAAAAGCAGCAGGUGAAUACCCCGCUGUUCUGACGGUACCCAAAGAAUAAGCACCGGCUAACUUCGUG